rnacentral:rRNA from 1 species
AGAGCGAACGCUGGCGGCAGGCUUAACACAUGCAAGUCGAGCGGGCGUAGCAAUACGUCAGCGGCAGACGGGUGAGUAACGCGUGGGAACGUACCUUUUGGUUCGGAAACAACACAGGGAAACUUGUGCUAAUACCGGAUAAGCCCUUACGGGGAAAGAUUUAUCGCCAAAAGAUCGGCCCGCGUCUGAUUAGCUAGUUGGUGAGGUAACGGCUCACCAAGGCGACGAUCAGUAGCUGGUCUGAGAGGAUGAUCAGCCACAUUGGGACUGAGACACGGCCCAAACUCCUACGGGAGGCAGCAGUGGGGAAUAUUGGACAAUGGGCGCAAGCCUGAUCCAGCCAUGCCGCGUGAGUGAUGAAGGCCCUAGGGUUGUAAAGCUCUUUUGUGCGGGAAGAUAAUGACGGUACCGCAAGAAUAAGCCCCGGCUAACUUCGCGCCAGCAGCCGC